rnacentral:siRNA from 1 species
CUAAGCUUGUCCUUGGACUAAUAU